rnacentral:rRNA from 1 species
AUGAACGCUAGCUACAGGCUUAACACAUGCAAGUCGAGGGGCAGCAUGGUCUUAGCUUGCUAAGGCCGAUGGCGACCGGCGCACGGGUGAGUAACACGUAUCCAACCUGCCGUCUACUCUUGGACAGCCUUCUGAAAGGAAGAUUAAUACAAGAUGGCAUCAUGAGUCCACAUGUUCACAUGAUUAAAGGUAUUCCGGUAGACGAUGGGGAUGCGUUCCAUUAGAUAGUAGGCGGGGUAACGGCCCACCUAGUCUUCGAUGGAUAGGGGUUCUGAGAGGAAGGUCCCCCACAUUGGAACUGAGACACGGUCCAAACUCCUACGGGAGGCAGCAGUGAGGAAUAUUGGUCAAUGGGCGAGAGCCUGAACCAGCCAAGUAGCGUGAAGGAUGACUGCCCUAUGGGUUGUAAACUUCUUUUAUAAAGGAAUAAAGUCGGGUAUGGAUACCCGUUUGCAUGUACUUUAUGAAUAAGGAUCGGCUAACUCCGUGCCAGCAGCCGCGGUAAUACGGAGGAUCCGAGCGUUAUCCGGAUUUAUUGGGUUUAAAGGGAGCGUAGAUGGAUGUUUAAGUCAGUUGUGAAAGUUUGCGGCUCAACCGUAAAAUUGCAGUUGAUACUGGAUAUCUUGAGUGCAGUUGAGGCAGGCGGAAUUCGUGGUGUAGCGGUGAAAUGCUUAGAUAUCACGAAGAACUCCGAUUGCGAAGGCAGCCUGCUAAGCUGCAACUGACAUUGAGGCUCGAAAGUGUGGGUAUCAAACAGGAUUAGAUACCCUGGUAGUCCACACGGUAAACGAUGAAUACUCGCUGUUUGCGAUAUACAGCAAGCGGCCAAGCGAAAGCGUUAAGUAUUCCACCUGGGGAGUACGCCGGCAACGGUGAAACUCAAAGGAAUUGACGGGGGCCCGCACAAGCGGAGGAACAUGUGGUUUAAUUCGAUGAUACGCGAGGAACCUUACCCGGGCUUAAAUUGCAGAUGAAUUACGGUGAAAGCCGUAAGCCGCAAGGCAUCUGUGAAGGUGCUGCAUGGUUGUCGUCAGCUCGUGCCGUGAGGUGUCGGCUUAAGUGCCAUAACGAGCGCAACCCUUGUUGUCAGUUACUAACAGGUUCCGCUGAGGACUCUGACAAGACUGCCAUCGUAAGAUGUGAGGAAGGUGGGGAUGACGUCAAAUCAGCACGGCCCUUACGUCCGGGGCUACACACGUGUUACAAUGGGGGGUACAGAGGGCCGCUACCACGCGAGUGGAUGCCAAUCCCAAAAACCUCUCUCAGUUCGGACUGGAGUCUGCAACCCGACUCCACGAAGCUGGAUUCGCUAGUAAUCGCGCAUCAGCCACGGCGCGGUGAAUACGUUCCCGGGCCUUGUACACACCGCCCGUCAAGCCAUGAAAGCCGGGGGUACCUGAAGUACGUAACCGCGAUGAGCGUCCUAGGGUAAAACUGGUGAUUGGGGCU